UUCCAGACUCCUACGGGAGGCAGCAGUGGGGAAUAUUGCACAAUGGGGGAAACCCUGAUGCAGCGACGCCGCGUGAGUGAAGAAGUAUUUCGGUAUGUAAAGCUCUAUCAGCAGGGAAGAUAAUGACGGUACCUGACUAAGAAGCCCCGGCUAACUACGUGCCAGCAGCCGCGGUAAUACGUAGGGGGCAAGCGUUAUCCGGAUUUACUGGGUGUAAAGGGUGCGUAGGUGGCAUGGCAAGUCAGAAGUGAAAGCCCGGGGCUCAACCCCGCGGACUGCUUUUGAAACUGUCAGGCUGGAGUACAGGAGAGGUAAGCGGAAUUCCUAGUGUAGCGGUGAAAUGCGUAGAUAUUAGGAGGAACACCAGUGGCGAAGGCGGCUUACUGGACUGUAACUGACACUGAGGCACGAAAGCGUGGGGAGCAAACAGGAUUAGAUACCCGCGUA
rnacentral:rRNA from 1 species